rnacentral:rRNA from 1 species
AUACCAGCACCCCGAGUGGUCGGGACGUUUAUUGGGCCUAAAGCAUCCGUAGCCGGUUCUACAAGUCUUCCGUUAAAUCCACCUGCUUAACAGAUGGGCUGCGGAAGAUACUAUAGGGCUAGGAGGCGGGAGAGGCAAGCGGUACUCAGUGGGUAGGGGUAAAAUCCUCUGAUCCACUGAAGACCACCAGUGGCGAAGGCGGCUUGCCAGAACGCGCUCGACGGUGAGGGAUGAAAGCUGGGGGAGCAAACCGGAUUAGAUACCCGGGUAGUCCCAGCCGUAAACGAUGCAGACUCGGUGAUGGGUUGGCUUCGUGCUAACCCAGUGCCGCAGGGAAGCCGUUAAGUCUGCCGCCUGGGUAGUACGGUCGCAAGACUGAAACUCAAAUGAAUUGGCGGGG